ensembl:lncRNA
UGUAGUGACAUCCAGUGUUCCAAGGGGAUGGUGUGUCAGACGGUCAAUGGUUGGCCACAGUGUGUUCAACCCAAGGUGGCCCCAAGGCAACCUUCUUGUGUGGACAUGCAAUGUCCUAAAGGGACAUCGUGUAGGAUGACGGAUGGGUGGCCCCACUGCGUGCAGAACCAGGCCUCUUGCCAGGAUAUCCAAUGUCAGAAGGGAACCGUGUGCCAAGUGGUGAAUGGUUGGCCACGCUGUGUCCAGACAAAGACUUCCAUCAGGAGACCUACUUGUAGUGACAUCCAGUGUUCCAAAGGGACCACGUGUCAGAUGGUCAAUGGUUGGCCACAGUGUGUCCAACCCAAGGUGGCCCCAAGGCAACCUUCCUGCAGGGACAUCCAAUGUCCUAAAGGGACAUCAUGCACAAUGACAGAUGGGUGGCCCCACUGCGUGCAGAACCAGCCAUCCUGUCAGGAUGUGCAGUGUCAGAAGGGAACUGAGUGCCAAAUGGUGGAUGGAUGGCCACGCUGUGUCCAACCAAAGACUUCCAUCAGGAGGCCCACCUGCAGUGACAUCCAGUGUUCCAAAGGUUCUUUGUGUCAGACGGUCAAUGGUUGGCCACAGUGUGUUCAACCCAAGGUGGCCCCAAGGCAACCUUCUUGCAGGGACAUCCAUUGUCCCAAAGGGACAUCGUGUAGGAUGACGGAUGGGUGGCCCCACUGUGUCCAGAAUGGUCCCUCUUGCAAUGACAUCGUGUGUCAGAAGGGAACUGAGUGCCAAAUAGUCAACGGUUGGCCACGGUGCAUCCAAAGCAAGACCACCGUGAGGCAACCUUCCUGCCGGGACAUCCAGUGUCCCAAAGGGAUCACGUGCAAGAUGCUACACGGGCAGCCCCAGUGCAUCCAUCGCCAACCCUCCUGCGGUGACAUCCAGUGCCAGAAAGGGACAGCGUGCCAGAUCGUGGAUGGGUGGCCCCAGUGCGUCCAGCGCGGCCCCUCCUGCGCUGACAUCCGCUGCCAGGUGGGCGCCGUGUGCCAAAUGCUUGACGGGCGCCCGCGGUGCGUCCAAAUGAAGGUGCCCCCGAGGCAACCUUCCUGCUCGGACAUUGUCUGUCCCAAGGGCACAGCCUGCACCAUGGCGGAGGGCAGACCCCGCUGCCAUCCCAGCCAACCCCUCCUCCUCACCGCAUCCCGAGCUCUCCCUGCUCCUCUCCCCCCAACCCCCCCCGAGGUCUCCGUUGUCCCCUCCCCGUGCCACGGCGCCAGCUGCACCGGCGUCCCUCCAUCCUGCCAACACGUCACCUGCCACCCCGGCACCGUUUGCACGCUGCUGCACGGCCGCCCCACCUGCAUCUCCCGGCCUUCCUGCAAGAACCUCCGCUGCCAAGCGGGCACGGGCUGCAAAAUCGUCAAGGGUUGGCCCCGUUGCGUCCGCAUCCCGUCCUGCGAGGACCUGCAAUGCCCGAGCGGGACGGCGUGCCGGGCGGUGCGAGGGUGGCCCAAAUGCGUGCGGAUGGCGAGGAGCGCACCGGCGACAUCCUGCUCCGACAAGGCUUGCCCCCCGGGCACGGCGUGCCGCAUGGCGGAGGGCGUCCCCCAUUGCGUCCCCCAAGGCCCCAGCUGCGCCGCGGUGCGUUGCUCGGACGGGACCACGUGCCAGAUGCUGGGAGGUCGGCCCCAAUGCGUGCCCGACUCGCCCGACUGCAGCACCGUCCGCUGCCCCGCCGGCACCGCGUGCCAACUGGAGGGCGGCUGGCCAACCUGCGUGCCCAACAAGCCGUCCUGCGGCACCGUCCGCUGCGCGGCGGGGACCACGUGCCAAAUGGUGGACAACUGGCCCAAGUGCGUCCCCAACAAGCCGUCCUGCAAAGAGGUGAUGUGCCCGGCGGGGACCGCGUGCCGAGUGGUGGACGGCUGGCCCAGGUGCGUGCCCAAGAAGCCGACUUGCAAAGAGACGCAUUGCCCGCUCGGAACGACGUGUCGGGUGGUGGAGGAUUGGCCCAAGUGCGUCCCCAAGGAGAUGUCCUGCAAAGAGGUGCACUGCCCGCCCGCCACGACCUGCAGGAUGGUGGGGGAUUGGCCCCAGUGCGUUCCCAACAAGCCGUCCUGCAAAGAUAUGCGUUGUCCAGUCGGGACGACGUGCCAAUUAGUGAAGGAUGGGCCCCAAUGCGUUCCCAACCCGUUGUCCUGCAAAGAUCUUCCAUGUCCAACUGGGACGACCUGUAGGAUGGUGGACAACCAACCCAAGUGUGAACCCAACAAGAUGUCCUGCAAAGAUUUUCCAUGUCCAGCUGGGAUGACCUGUAGGAUGGUGGACAACCAACCCAAAUGCGACCCCAACCAGCUCUCCUGCGACCACAUCCGUUGCCCAAAGGGCGAAACCUGCAAGCUGACGGAGGAGGGCUCGCCCCGAUGCGUCCCCGUGCACCACCCCCCCCUCGUCUGCCACGUCCUGAGGCAGUGGCGGUUCCGAGCCUUCGAUGGGAAGGGGUACAGCUUGGGGGGACCCUGCGCCCAAACGUUGGUGAGCAGCUGCGGUGCUCCAAAGAUCUUCCUCAACGUCACGGUGGGAGGACGGGACAGCGCGGGGCUGGCCGCGUCCUUCUCCUACGUCAUGAUCCAGGGCGAUGACUACGAGGUCGUGCUGGUCCGAGGAGAGGAGAAGAUGGCGAGGGUGAGGAGGAGGGGAGAGGGGAGAAGGGCGGUCCAGGGGGGAAACGGGGAUGUGGGGCUUCCCAUUUCCAGUUCCUAGACCCCAUAUCUGGGUGGCGGAUCCCAGUGGCCAGACUCUUCCCACCCCAUUUCCAACCCCAGAACC